GCCUACGGGAGGCAGCAGUAGGGAAUUUUCGUCAAUGGGCGCAAGCCUGAACGAGCAAUGCCGCGUGAACGAGGGAGGUCUUCGGAUCGUAAAGUUCUGUUGAAGGGGAAAAAGAGCGGAGAGAGGAAAUGCUUUCUGAUCGAUAUUACCCUUCGAGGAAGUCACGGCUAACUACGUGCCAGCAGCCGCGGUAAUACGUAGGUGGCGAGCGUUAUCCGGAAUGAUUGGGCGUAAAGGGUGCGUAGGCGGCCUGCUAAGUCUGGAGUGAAAGGUACCGGCUCAACCGGUACAGGCUCUGGAAACUG
rnacentral:rRNA from 1 species